GGGGCUGGUAAUGGCGACGCUUUCGAGCUUAGCUUUUAUAUCCUUACACACCUGUGAACUAUUUGCCUUUGGGCACAAACUUAAACAUAAUGUAAUGAAUGUAAACUAUUAUAACAAAUACAACUUUCAACAACGGAUCUCUUGGCUCUCACAUCGAUGAAGAACGCAGCGAAAUGCGAUAAGUAAUGUGAAUUGCAGAAUUCAGUGAAUCAUCGAAUCUUUGAACGCAAAUUGCGCCCUUUGGUAUUCCGAAGGGCAUGCCUGUUUGAGUGUCUUAUAAACCUCUCACUAUAGUUUAUUCUAUAGUGAGCUUUGGGUGUUGCCAGCGAUGGCUCGCCUUAAAUGUCUAAGUGGAAUGCAUAAUAAGUUCUUGCAACCCUCCACUCUAACACACUUUAUAUUCUGACCUCAAAUCAGGUAGGACUACCCGCUGAACUUAAGCAUAUCAUAAGGGGGGAGGAAAAAGGAUCUUUAUUAAAUGGCGACGCUUUCGAGCUUACCUUUUAUAUCUUACACACCUGUGAACUAUUUGCCUUUGGGCCAAACUUAAACAUAAUGUAAUGAAUGUAAACUAUUUAUUACAAAUAAACUUUCACAACGGAUCUCUUGGCUCUCACAUCGAUGAAGAACGCAACGAAAUGCGAUAAGUAAUGUGAAUUGCAGAAUUCGUGAAAUCAUGAAUCUUUGAACGCAAAUUGCGCCUUUGGUAUUCGAAGGGCAUGCUGUUUGAGUGUCUUAUAAACUCUCCUAUAGUUUAUUCUAUAGUGAGCUUUGGGUGUUGCGGAUGGCUGCUUAAAUGUCUAGUGGAAAUGCAUAAUAAGUCUUGCACCUCCCUCUUAAUCACUUUAUAUUUUCUCGACACACAACAUCGGGAAGGACAUACUCGCCUCGAACUCUAAACUAUCAAUAAAGGGGAGGGGGGG
rnacentral:rRNA from 1 species